rnacentral:rRNA from 1 species
AGCGAACGCUGGCGGCAGGCCUAACACAUGCAAGUCGAGCGGCCGUAGCAAUACGGCAGCGGCAGACGGGAGAGUAACACGUGGGAACGCGCCCUUCGGUUCGGGAUAACUCAGGGAAACUUGGGCUAAUACCGGAUACGCCCUUACGGGGAAGGAUUUAUUGCCGAAGGAACGGCCCGCGUCCGAUUAGCUUGUUGGUGAGGUAACGGCUCACCAAGGCGACGAUCGGUAGCUGGUCUGAGAGGAUGACCAGCCUCACUGGGACUGAGACACGGCCCAGACUCCUACGGGAGGCAGCAGUGGGGAAUAUUGGACAAUGGGCGCAAGCCUGAUCCAGCCAUGCCGCGUGGGUGAUGAAGGCCCUAGGGUUGUAAAGCCCUUUCAGCGGGGAAGAUAAUGACGGUACCCGCAGAAGAAGCCCCGGCUAACUUCGUGCCAGCCGCCGCCGUAACAC